CAUCUCUGCCUGGAGACCUGAAACCCCAUGUGAUGUAAAGAAGGCAAAAUGACAAGGUCAACCUGCUCAGUAGCAAUUUGAAACAAUGCAGGUGGUUUGGAAAACAGUCCCCAUAAGGAGAAGGGCAGCUGGGGGAGGGGACAGGAGCGCUCUCUUCCCUUUAUUAAAAUGAGAUGCUUGGCCUAGAGCCUGCCAAGCUCCAAAGGAUGCACCUGUACACAACACUGUUUACUGAAAUAAAAAACACCUUCAAUAUUUUUUUUAGCUCGGAAUGAACAAGAGGAACAGGAGGAGAAGAGAGAGAUUAAGAGGAGGCUAACCCGAAAGCUCAGUCAAAGGCCCACGGUGGAAGAGCUUCGGGAAAGGAAGAUCCUCAUCCGCUUCAGUGACUACGUGGAGGUGGCUGACGCUCAGGACUAUGACCGCAGGGCAGAUAAGCCGUGGACCCGCCU
rnacentral:sRNA from 1 species